GUGUGCGCGAGGCGGCGGCGCGUGGCAGCGGCGGCUCCCGCCGGCGGGCUCUGAGGGGCGAGCGCGGGCGGCGGCGACCCCGGCCCGGCCCGGCCCCGCCAUGACCGACUUCAAGCUGGGGAUCGUGCGGCUCGGCCGGGUGGCCGGCAAGACCAAGUACACGCUGAUCGACGAGCAGGACAUCCCGCUGGUGGAGAGCUACUCCUUCGAGGCUCGGAUGGAGGUAGAUGCUGAUGGAAAUGGUGCUAAAAUAUUUGCUUACGCGUUUGACAAAAAUCGUGGAAGGGGAUCCGGCCGACUCCUGCAUGAGCUGCUUUGGGAGAGACACCGGGGAGGGAUUGCUCCUGGAUUUCAGGUGGUACAUCUGAAUUCAGUGACAGUGGACAACCGCCUAGACAAUCUGCGCCUAGUUCCUUGGGGGUGGAAACCCAAAGCUGAAGAAAUCUCUAGUAAACAAAGGGAACAAAGUCUGUAUUGGCUGGCAAUCCAACAGCUUCCUACAGAUCCUAUAGAAGAGCAGUUUCCUGUACUGAAUGUAACACGAUAUUACAACGCUAACGGGGAUGUUGUGGAGGAGGAAGAGAACUCAUGCACAUACUAUGAAUGUCACUACCCCCCAUGCACAAUGAUUGAAAAACAGUUACGUGAAUUCAACAUUUGUGGCCGAUGCCAGGUAGCGAGGUACUGUGGGUCACAAUGCCAGCAAAAAGAUUGGCCUGCUCACAAGAAACACUGUCGGGAGAAGAAACGGACCUUCCAGCAAGAGCUCGGACCAGAACGAUGACCGGGUGGCACAGGCCUCUCAGCAGCAGGAUUCCUUCUCAAAGGCAUUGGACUCUUGCUUUUGCACAGUAAUGACAGACUGCUUAUUGAAGCCAGAGGCACUGAAGAAGACAAACCCUGUGAUGCUUGAGCAGAAUGGCUGACUGGACAAAGCCAGCUCUGACUGGUGCUGUGGAAAGGGAUUGGGUCUACCCUUCCAGUAUUAUAUUCUCAAGCAAAAAGACUACUGUGGAGGCUCCAGGCAGGAAGCUUCUCAUUAUUUAUAUGUUAAUACGUUUGUAAACUCAUGUACAGUUUUUGUUAGAAAUUCUUGAUAGGACUCAUUAACUGUAAUGUUCAGAUGAGAACACAUUGUUGGCCUAAAAGCUUAAAAAAAAAAAAAAAGAAAAAAAAAAAAGGGGGGGGUGGGGAGGGGGCAGGGAGGGGCAAACAAACUAAAGGUUGGAAUGAAUCAUUGUCUGCUCUCUAGCUUUCUCCCGUUCCCUUCCAGCUGCUUUCAGAGCACAGUCACACUUGGACGUUGAAAAUACCUACUCAGUAGGAACCAGUGCACCAGAAACUGGAGCGGAGUGUAGGGGACCAUCUGGGAUCUGUGCAUGCAGGCAAGCUGUAGCGUGUCGCUGCCUUCAGAGAAGGGCUGCUGGAGAUUGUGCGUUAAGCAACCAAUAUUUUUAGAAAGCUGAAUUGGCUUUCUUGUUAUGAAACCUUUGUAUAUAAAGUAGUUGUAGGGAAGCUCAGGUAGUCAGCUGUGUGUGGAUGUGGUUGCCCUUGUGGCUUCCCCGUAAGCAUAGCAAAUACUAUAGUGAUGUGCAGAAAUGUUUAAAUGAUCUAAUAUUUGGUAAUUUGAGUUAUUUAUUCAUUUUUUUAAAGAGAUGCCAUCAAUUCAAGGAUCACUUUUUAAUUUUUUUUAUGUAGUAAUGAGUAAAAAUAAUAUAGGAGGAGGAUUUGACUUACUGAGUACAUGCCUGUUUUUCUUUUCACUUUGUCGUGCAUAAUCUGAAAGUUUUGGGUUUGUUUUUUUUUUUUUUCAUUUUUGCCUUAGAAAGGAAUGCCGACUGAAGUUUCCUGAAGAACCAAGUGGAUAAUUUAGUGCCAGGUGUUAGUCUUGUUUCACAGUAGAAGAAUGUGAGCUGCUGACUUUUUAAUGCAGAGCCUUUCUCGGAGUACUUAGUGAAAUAGGUGUUUAAAAUUUUUUUGUAAAAGCCGUUAAGAACUUUAAUUUUUCAGUCAGGAUUCACUUUGCCACUUCAUGUUGCAAUGUUGGUCUUGCUUGUAUUCAGUUUGCUAGAAAAUUGAACUGCUGUGGACUUCCAAAAUUAUAUUAUGUUUCUAAUAUCUGCA